rnacentral:sRNA from 1 species
UUGCUAUAUAUUUAUUCUUAUUCGUCUCGCGUUCUACUACAGAGAGAGAGAGAGAGCGAGCGAGAGUGUGAGAGAAAGAGUAGUAAAGCGCGCGCCAAAGUACAUUUGUUUGGUUGUUUGUUGAUGACACACUACAGCAGCAGCAGCAAUCGUCGUCACUCGACAAGUCAAUGUUUAGCGUAUCUAUGUGUGUUUGGUUUUUUGAGUGCUUAUGUAGUGGUGUCAGUGUUUAGUGCAAGUUUUGUUCUCUGCGUUGUGUUGCUGCUGCUGCUUGUGUCUAAUUUUCUCGUUGAUACCAAUUGGAUGGAUAUUUUUGUGUCCCAUUGCAAAAAUAAGGAAGCCGGAUCUGAAAACACGGAGACGAAUACACGUUCUAUGUCCUGCAGAGCUGAAAAUUAUGUGAAAACUGUGGAGGUCAUUGAUAUAAUGGUCAAGGUAGACACGAAAGCCCAGAACAACUCUCUUAAGCCUGCAGAGCAACAAACAGAAGCAAACUUUUACUGGGUGUGAUUGGUCUAAGGAUAGAUGGCAGAAAGCUUUCAUUAACAUGGUAGUCACAAGGGCAACACAGCAUCAAAACUGAGUUAAGAUUUGAAAAAGGUUCAGAAAAAAUCCCGGUUGAUAUUCUGGAGCUCCAUGAAGACACAUUUAUUCGAGAACUCUAGGCUCCAGAAAAUUCUACACACCUACUAAAAUUAGGUUAAAGUCAGAGAACUAGAGCUGGCAACUUUUGAUUUUCGUUCCAUUCGAUAUUUUUCUUCUUAGCUGUCGAUACUAUUGAUACUAUCUAUAAAAUUUGUUAAUCUUUUGAAUCAAUUCGACAGGGAAGAGCUUUGAAUACCGACUACAUACCUGGAUACCAGUGAAACAACCAAUCGCCCAUACUAAGACCAUCACCCAGAAAAUGUUCCACAGCGUUAUUAGCUCAGUUUACAUGAAAAUAAAUUUUAUGAAAGUAAA